rnacentral:rRNA from 1 species
GUCCACGCCGUAAACGAUGGAUACUAGGUGUGGGGGACUGACCCCCUCCGUGCCGCAGCUAACGCAAUAAGUAUCCCACCUGGGGAGUACGAUCGCAAGGUUGAAACUCAAAGGAAUUGACGGGGGCCCGCACAAGCGGUGGAGUAUGUGGUUUAAUUCGAAGCAACGCGAAGAACCUUACCAGGGCUUGACAUCCUACUAACGAGGUAGAGAUACGUUAGGUGCCCUUCGGGGAAAGUAGAGACAGGUGGUGCAUGGUUGUCGU